GUGAAUACAGUCAACAAUUGUUCUCCCACCCCUUCUGGGCCAACUGCCUUAUGUGGGGCAAUGGCUUCCCUAGUGCUGGAGACUUUGGACAACCCACCUCAACCUCCAGGUGAUGGUUUUAGGUGAUGGAGGGUCCAUGGCUCGUUCUAUCUCACUACAACAGGGAACACCCCUUCUCAUAGCAGGAAAUGUUCCUAAACCUGCCAUAGGAGUAGGGUGUAGCUCACAAGACUUCCUCCUUCCUCCUCCACUGCCAACGGUCCCACCGCUGCCAUCACCCAUCUUCAACCAGGCAGGUCCACCCACCAACCCAACCAGGGUUGUCUACACCUUGCCAGGCCCCACAGCUCCCUCUUCGCCUCCAAGGUUGGUCCAGACUGUUCCGGGAUCCUUCCCCGACAUUUACGACGGAGACAUGAAGAAGUGGGAAGAGCACUUCCACAGCAUUCAGAGAGCCUACAAAGAAUUUGGCAAAGAGGAUGACUUUGCCAUCCGAGUGCUGACGGAGGACUUCACCCUCCCUUUCCCAUUUGCCUGGCCCAACGAGGGUGAAGUGGAUCGGAAGCCAGCCUUCGAUCCCGCCGACUGUGCUGGUUUUGACUUCUUCCUCCAUCCAGGGCAACCGCUACCCCGUAUCCUUCAACCCCUGCAUGCCACCACCCAAGCUUUCUUCAAAAAGAGACGGCUGGAGCAGCUGGCACUCAGUUAUGCCAACAAAGCAUCUCUGGCCAAUGCUUCGGGUCUGCCAUCGCCCCAAGAGACUGGUCCUGCCUUCAGGCCAGACAUCAUGGUUCUCACAACCAUGCCGUGCGUGGCAACCACAACAACCAAUGAGCCACCGUUUCUCCUGCAGGAAGGCAAAGGCCCCCGGAAUAUCCAGCCGGCCCCUACAGUGAUCCCAAAUUUGGCUCCAAGAGGAUCAAUCAACCUUCAGUUUAUGAGCCCCACCCACCACGGGCCAUUUUAGCUCCCCUUGGAAUAUUUUGGAUAUACUCUCAAAGCAUUUUUUUAAAGAAAGUGAAUAAAGCUUUUUUACAACUCUUCCAUGAUCAUCAUGACAUCAAAGUCUUUCA
rnacentral:lncRNA from 11 species